rfam:Stegodyphus mimosarum contig11681, whole genome shotgun sequence.
GCCUUCGUGGUGUAAUGGUAGUACACUCAGCGCGUAUUCGAGAGGUACAGGUUCGAAUCCUGGCUAGGGCA